rnacentral:rRNA from 1 species
CUACGUGCCAGCAGCCGCGGUAAAACGUAGGUCACGAGCGUUGUCCGGAAUUACUGGGUGUAAAGGGAGCGCAGGCGGGUAUGCAAGUUGGGAGUGAAAUACAUGGGCUCAACCCAUGAACUGCUCUCAAAACUGUGUAUCUUGAGUAGUGCAGAGGUAGGCGGAAUUCCCGGUGUAGCGGUGGAAUGCGUAGAUAUCGGGAGGAACACCAGUGGCGAAGGCGGCCUACUGGGCACCAACUGACGCUGAGGCUCGAAGUGUGGGUAGCA